UACGGGGGGGGCAAGCGUUGUUCGGAUUUACUGGGCGUAAAGAGCGCGCAGGCGGUCGUUCAAGUCGCGUGUGAAAGCCCCCGGCUCAACUGGGGAGGGUCACGCGAUACUGAUCGACUCGAAGGCAGGAGAGGGUAGUGGAAUUCCCGGUGUAGUGGUGAAAUGCGUAGAGAUGUGGAGGAACACCAGUGGCGAAGGCGACUCUUUGGCCUGUAACUGACGCUGAGGCGCGAAAGCGUGGGGAGCGAACAGG
rnacentral:rRNA from 1 species